rnacentral:rRNA from 1 species
GACGAACGCUGGCGGCGUGCCUAAUACAUGCAAGUAGAACGCACAGUUUAUACCGUAGCUUGCUACACCAUAGACUGUGAGUUGCGAACGGGUGAGUAACGCGUAGGUAACCUGCCUGGUAGCGGGGGAUAACUAUUGGAAACGAUAGCUAAUACCGCAUAAUAUUGAUUAUUGCAUGAUAAUUGAUUGAAAGAUGCUAUUGCAUCACUACCAGAUGGACCUGCGUUGUAUUAGCUAGUAGGUGAGGUAACGGCUCACCUAGGCGACGAUACAUAGCCGACCUGAGAGGGUGAUCGGCCACACUGGGACUGAGACACGGCCCAGACUCCUACGGGAGGCUGCAGUAGGGAAUCUUCGGCAAUGGACGAAAGUCUGACCGAGCAACGCCGCGUGAGUGAAGAAGGUUUUCGGAUCGUAAAGCUCUGUUGUAAGAGAAGAACGGGUGUGAGAGUGGAAAGUUCACACUGUGACGGUAUCUUACCAGAAAGGGACGGCUAACUACGUG